UACGUAGGGAGCAAGCGUUGUUCGGAAUUACUGGGCGUAAAGGGCUCGUAGGCGGCCAACUAAGUCAGACGUGAAAUCCCUCGGCUUAACCGGGGAACGGCCUCUGAUACUGGCUGGCUGGAGGUCGGGAGAGGGAUGCGGAAUUCCUGGUGUAGCGGUGAAAUGCGCAGAUAUCAGGAGGAACACCGAUGGCGAAGGCAGUGGUCUGGGCCGGCACUGACGCUGAAUAGCGAAAGCGUGGGUAGCGAACAGG
rnacentral:rRNA from 1 species